rnacentral:rRNA from 1 species
CGUAGGAAGCAAGCGUUAUCCGGAUUUACUGGGCGUAAAGGGCAUGCAGGCGGUCUAUCAAGUUGGAGUUGAAAGCUCUCGGCUAAACUGGGAGAGGUGCUUCAAGACUGACAGACUAGAGUAUGGUAGAGGAGAGUGGAAUUCCCGGUGUAGUGGUGAAAUGCGUAGAUAUCGGGAGGAACACCAGUGGCGAAAGCGGCUCUCUGGGCCAUAACUGACGCUCAGAUGCGAAAGCCAGGGGAGAGAACGGGAUUAGAAACCCCGGUAUUCCUGGCCGUAAACGAUGUUAACUCGGCGUAGGGGGUGUCAAAGCCCUCUGUGCUCCAGCCAACGCGAUAAGUUAACCGCCUGGGGACUACGGCCGCAAGGCUA